rnacentral:lncRNA from 1 species
AUGAGACUUUGGACUUUGGACUGUGGACUUUUGAGUUAACACUGAAAUGAAUUAAUGCUGAAAUGAAUUAAGACUUUGGGAGACGGUUGAGAAGCCAUGACUCAUUUUAAAAUGUGAGACAUGCCUUUCACCUUCUGCCAUGAUUGUGAGGCCUCUCCAGCCAUGUGGAACUGUAAGUCCAAUAAACCUCUUUCUUUUGCAAAUUGCCCAGCAAUGUGAAAACAGACUAAUACAGUGGGA